rnacentral:rRNA from 1 species
GACAGAGGGUGCAAACGUUGUUCGGAAUUACUGGGCGUAAAGCGCGUGUAGGCGGCCCAGCAAGUCGGAUGUGAAAGCCCUGGGCUUAACCUAGGAAGUGCAUUCGAAACUGCUGGGCUUGAGUUCUGGAGAGGAAGGCGGAAUUCUCGGUGUAGAGGUGAAAUUCGUAGAUAUCGAGAGGAACACCGGUGGCGAAGGCGGCCUUCUGGACAGUGACGUGACGCUGAGACGGCGAAAGCGUGGGGAGCAAACAGGG